rnacentral:rRNA from 1 species
AGUGAACGCUGGCGGUAGGCCUAACACAUGCCAGUCGAACGGCAGCACAGUAAGCGCUUGCUCUUACGGGUGGCGAGUGGCGGACGGGUGAGGAAUGCAUCGGAAUCUACUUUUUCGUGGGGGAUAACGGAGGGAAACUUACGCUAAUACCGCAUACGACCUACGGGUGAAAGCAGGAGAUCUUCGGACCUUGCGCGAUUGUAUGAGCCGAUGUCGGAUUAGCUAGUUGGCGGGGUAAAGGCCCACCAAGGCAACGAUCCGUAGCUGGUCUGAGAGGAUGAUCAGCCACACUGGAACUGAGACACGGUCCAGACUCCUACGGGAGGCAGCAGUGGGGAAUAUUGGACAAUGGGCGCAAGCCUGAUCCAGCCAUACCGCGUGGGUGAAGAAGGCCUUCGGGUUGUAAAGCCCUUUUGUUGGGAAAGAAAAGCAGCAGGUUAAUACCCCGCUGUUCUGACGGUACCCAAAGAAUAAGCACCGGCUAACUUCGUG